rnacentral:rRNA from 1 species
GAGCAUCCUGGCGGCGAGUGGCGAACGGGUGAGUAAUACAUCCGAAAGUUUCCUGUAGUGGGGGAUAGCCCGGCGAAAGCCGGAUUAAUACCGCAUACGAUCUACGGAUGAAAGCGGGGGAUCGCAAGACCUCGCGCUAUAGGGGCGGCCGAUGGCGGAUUAGCUAGUUGGUGGGGUAAAGGCCCACCAAGGCGACGAUCCGUAGCUGGUCUGAGAGGACGACCAGCCACACUGGGACUGAGACACGGUUUAGACUCCUACGGGAGGCAGCAGUGGGGAAUUUUGGACAAUGGGCGCAAGCCUGAUCCAGCAAUGCCGCGUGUGUGAAGAAGGCCUUCGGGUUGUAAAGCACUUUUGUCCGGAAAGAAAUCCUCUGGGUUAAUACCCCGGGGGGAUGACGGUACCGGAAGAAUAAGCACCGGCUAACUACGUGCCAGCAGCCGCGGUAAUACGUAGGGUGCGAGCGUUAAUCGGAAUUACUGGGCGUAAAGCGUGCGCAGGCGGUGAUGUAAGACCGAUGUGAAAUCCCCGGGCUUAACCUGGGAACUGC